CUGGAGAAACAGAAGGAAGAGGGGCUGAAGAGGCGCAUCGUCUGCUUCACUAUCGAUGAGAAAGUACCAAUGUUUGGUUUGGAGGCUGUUUUCCGAAACGGUGUUCCCGUUGGUCACCUGCGACGAUCCGAAUAUGGCUUUUUUAUAGACAAAACUCUUGCUUAUGGAUACAUCCGCAACCCUAAUGCAGGAGUGGUGAGUGCCGAUUUCAUUAAGAGUGGCGAGUUCACCCUGGAGAGGAUGGGA